UACGGAGGGUGCAAGCGUUAUCCGGAUUCACUGGGUUUAAAGGGUGCGUAGGCGGGUUGGUAAGUCAGUGGUGAAAUCUUCAAGCUUAACUUGGAAACUGCCAUUGAUACUACCAGUCUUGAAUACAGUGGAGGUAGGCGGAAUGCGUCAUGUAGCGGUGAAAUGCUUAGAUAUGACGCAGAACACCAAUUGCGAAGGCAGCUUGCUACACUGUUAUUGACACUGAGGCACGAAAGCGUGGGGAUCAAACAGG
rnacentral:rRNA from 1 species